GCCUGGGUGGCUCAGUUGGUUAAGCGUCUGACUUCAACUCAGGUCAUGAUCUCAUGGUUUGUGAGUUCGAUCCCUGCGUCGGGCU
rnacentral:tRNA from 1 species